UUGGUGGACGUAAGGAAAACUACAGGCGAAUAUCCAACCUGAAACUGUCUUUACCUCGGUUCUUAAAGUCCAUUGAAACUCAAUGGACAAAACAUGAUCUUAGUGCUACGAUGCUUUUGGGGAAGCCAGACCUGUUCGGUAACAUAAUACAUGUUUUCUUCAAUGUACAAAGGUUGGAGCAUCUAACUUGCUAAAUGUGGCUAGCUAGUAACGUUAGAUGGUAGCUAACUUGCUAGUACGAGCUAGCCAGUCGUUAGCUGGUCGACUUGCUAACAAAGUUCCUGCUAGCUAUCUAAUCAAACUCCAGAUGAUCCGUAUAAACGUUAUGAUAGAACUAACUUGAUAGCUCAAUAACUAAACUAUACAUAUUUGCAGGAUGUCUUCCUUAAGUAUCUAUCAUAGCAAGUAGCUUUCUCACUCAUUGUCAACAUGUCUAUUAAUGAUGACGUAGUAAGACCGUAAUAUAUGGUAAAGUGCGCAAAAAUAUAUUCGUGUGUGAGACAACAUAUGCAUUUCUCUCCUAACAUUAAGAAAACCAAGAAAAUAUUUAAUAAUUGGCUACAACGGGAUCUUUCUAUACUUGGGAGAGUGCUUCUGUCCAAGGCAGAGGGACUGUCUCGCUUUUUGUACCCCUCAUUAUCUUCAUUUGUAAAUCCCUCUACCUGUAAAGAGAUCAACAAGACCUUUCUUGACUUCAUCUGGAAGUGUUGGGUUUUGUUGACAUAAGUAACACUUUCAAGACCAAUUGGUUGAAAAGAUGUUUGGUCAAUACAGAAUCAAGAAUCAUUCCAAACAAUGUGUUUAAUAAGUUGGAGGAUUUCAAUUUUUACUGAAAUGUAAUUAUAUUCCUGAGAAAUUGGCUAGGUUUCACCAACAAGCUUUAAUGUCCUGGAAAAUGUUUCUUGCACAAUUUUUGCCUACAUAAAGCUAUUUUUUGUGAAAUAAUUCAUACAUAAGUAAUUGUUCUACCCUAGCUGGCAUGGGAGGAAUAUUGACUUUGUUCUUGAUGUUUUCGACAGCAGGGGUAAUACUCUUGCUUGUGCGUCAAUAUCACUAAAAGUGUUAUUUUUUUGUCCUCAAGAUAAAUCAUUCAAAAUUGUAUAUAAAAAAAUAUACACUUGAUGAAAUUUCAAAAGGAUCCUUUUGUAUGUAUGCCUUCAUGAUAAUAGAAGCAUAAUGAUGUAGACUUCAAACUACAUUUUAUACAUUUUAGACUAUUUUAUUUCAGUGGAAGGAAGCAAUGUCCCAAGUGCUGCUCAAUCAACUUCAACGAAAAAAAUUAUACAUUUAAAGAAACAUUUUCAAAUUUUCUUCAUUAAAUGUUAUCUUAUGUAUAGACUUUUGUGUUAAAUGCUGCACUUUUUAUAAGAAUAUUGACUAUUUUCUGUACAUCCUCAGUCGUUGUCCACCCUGUUACAUUGUGGUUACUGGCACUUAUAUAUAUUUUAUAUAUUUUGACAUCAAAAUACAAUGUAUAUUUUCUACAAUGAGAUCACCAACAGGAAAUGAUGUCACUUCCUUGGCGGGAAAACAACUGUGGUGAACCUGUGCAGCUGAAAGACAGCGGCAAUACAGAGAACGACGUAAUGCUGCCCCAGAAAGGAGAGUAUCUAGAGAAAGAGAGGGAGGAAAGAUAAAAGAGACUGGGAAGAAGAAGGCAAUAGCUGAACUCAGUGACAGAGUGCAGCAUGCAGAAAGGAAGAAAUGGAGAGAUUCAAACAGGAUACUCAGAGCCAGGGUCAAGACUAGUGCAUUGCUGCAGUCUGCAGAGAUGCCAUUAAAGGAACGAUGAAGAUUAAUCAGGUUAUCAGUGUCUCACCAGGCCAGAUAAAAUACUUGUCUGUGCAGAAGGAUAGUGGCAUGUUGGACUGUCCUUGUUUUCAGCUCAAAGAGGCAACUCUGGGUGACCCUGCAGCAUCUAACCAGCUCCCUACAUCUCAUGACGAGGCUGACACCACAUGGCGACCUGGAACCAUUGAACUUAAUCACGUAGGGGAGUGGUGUGUUGUCAAUUAUGACCAUGAAGGAUACCCUGGCAUCAUCAUAGAUGUAGAGGAACAUAACAUUAAGGUGAAGUGCAUGCACCUGAAUGGCAUCAACAAAUUCUUCUGGCCAAGUCCAAAGGAAGAUAUUUGUUGGUACUCUGAUGGACAGAUAAUUUGUCAGAUGCCAGAGCCAUGGGCUGUUAAUAAACACUCUGUACAGAUGGAAAGAUCCACCUGGAAGUACGUGGAAGAGCAUUUGGGGUGAAAGGGGGGACGGAUGGAAAUUGGGGGAGAGGAAGAGAGGGAGAGGAAUGUGUUUUAAUGCUAAUUCCAAUGAUUUUUCUACUGGCAAUGUAUUUUUGUGUUGUUUUUCACAAUGAAUACAGUUGAAGUCGGAAGUUUACAUACACUUAGGUUGGAGUCAUUAAAACUCGUUUUUCAACCACUCCACAAAUUUCUUUUUAACAAACUAUAGUAUGGGCAAGUCGGU